rnacentral:piRNA from 1 species
CUGGAGCCCAAAAUGGGGUCUGUCCCAGAAA